CCUACGGGAGGCAGCAGUAGGGAAUGUUCGUCAAUGGGCGCAAGCCUGAACGAGCGAUGCCGCGUGAGUGAAGAAGGCCUUGGGGUCGUAAAGCUCUGUUGCGGGGGAAAAAAGGCAGCAUCAGGAAAUGGGUGCUGACUGAUGGUGCCCCGCCAGCAAGUCACGGCUAACUACGUGCCAGCAGCCGCGGUAAUACGGAGGGGGCGAGCGUUAUCCGGAAUGGUUGGGCGUAAAGGGUGCGCAGGCGGUCCUGCAAGUCUGGAGUGAAACGCAUGGGCUCAACUCAUGCAUGGCUUUGGAAACUGGAGGACUGGAGAGCAGUAGAGGGCGGGGGAACUCCAGGUGUAGCGGUGAAAUGCGUAGAUAUAUGGAAGAACACCAGUGGCGAAGGCGGCCGCCUGGCCUGUUGCUGACGCUGAGGCACGAAAGCGUGGGGAGCAAAUAGGAUUAGAUACCCGGGUAGUC
rnacentral:rRNA from 1 species